CGCUUUGCGCAGCGGCAGUAUCCUAGCCAAUGAAGUUCAUCUUAGGCACAAUUAUUGCUAAUUGAAAACUUAAAGAACCACAUAUAUUUAGGUACAACGUAUUCCUAGCUUUUCGUUCUUCUCAAACACUCUUUCCAUGU
rfam:Canis lupus familiaris chromosome 10, whole genome shotgun sequence.